GACGAACGCUGGCGGCGUGCUUAACACAUGCAAGUCGAACGGAAAGGCCCUGCUUUUGUGGGGUGCUCGAGUGGCGAACGGGUGAGUAACACGUGAGUAACCUGCCCUUGACUUUGGGAUAACUUCAGGAAACUGGGGCUAAUACCGGAUAGGAGCUCCUGCUGCAUGGUGGGGGUUGGAAAGUUUCGGCGGUUGGGGAUGGACUCGCGGCUUAUCAGCUUGUUGGUGGGGUAGUGCUUACCAAGGCUUUGACGGGUAGCCGGCCUGAGAGGGUGACCGGCCACAUGGGGACUGAGAUACGGCCCAGACUCCUACGGGAGGCAGCAGUGGGGAAUAUUGCACAAUGGGCGGAAGCCUGAUGCAGCAACGCCGCGUGCGGGAUGACGGCCUUCGGGUUGUAAACCGCUUUCGCCUGUGACGAAGCGUGAGUGACGGUAAUGGGUAAAGAAGCACCGGCUAACUACGUG
rnacentral:rRNA from 1 species